rnacentral:rRNA from 1 species
GACGAACCGUGCGAACGUUGUUCGGAAUCACUGGGCUUAAAGGGCGCGUAGGCGGGCUGUCAAGUCUGGGGUGAAAUCCCACGGCUCAACCGUGGAACUGCCUUAGAUACUGACGGCCUUGAGGGAGAUAGGGGCGAGCGGAACUGUGAGUGGAGCGGUGAAAUGCGUUGAUAUUCACAGGAACGUCCGGUGGCGAAGGCGGCUCGCUGGAUCUUUCUGACGCUGAGGCGCGAAAGCUAGGGGAGCAAACGGG